rnacentral:rRNA from 1 species
UAGGGAAUCUUCCGCAAUGGACGAAAGUCUGACGGAGCAACGCCGCGUGAGUGAAGAAGGAUUUCGGUUCGUAAAACUCUGUUGUUAGGGAAGAAAAAAUGUAUAGUAACUAUAUACAAAAGAGACGGUACCUAACCAGAAAGCCACGGCUAACUACGUGCCAGCAGCCGCGGUAAUACGUAGGUGGCAAGCGUUGUCCGGAAUUAUUGGGCGUAAAGCGCGCGCAGGUGGUUUAGAAAGUCUGAUGUGAAAGCCCACGGCUCAACCGUGGAGGGUCAUUGGAAACUAAUAAACUUGAGUGGAGGAGAGAAGAGUGGAAUUCCUAGUGUAGCGGUGAAAUGCGUAGAGAUUAGGAGGAACACCGGAGGCGAAAGCGGCUUUUUGGCCUGCAACUGACACUGAGGCGCGAAAGCGUGGGGAGCAAACAGG